AUGAACGAAGUUAAAAUUAAGGUGCACCAGCAGAUGAGAAAACUUUAUAAUAGCACAUGGUCAUUAGUUAAUAGAGAAACCCGAGUGCUAAACAUUGUGAUACAACUUAAAAGUAAUAUCACUAGAAACAAUAUACAAACAUGCAACAAGUAAAACGAUUAAUAAGUAUUUAGCCGCGCUAUUAUAGUCCAUUCAAUGACGUACCUUUUGACUUUGUAUGUAAUCCUAGGUUAUGGUGGUGGUUGAAAGUGUCUGCCCGUCGGUCGAGGAUGGACAAAAUUACAGCAGAGACCGCAGACACAAGGGCAACACCCGAACCUGAUAAAUAUGAGUCGUAUUGGCAGAGACGUAAUGAAAAACAGACCAUCUAAUGGAAUAUAACCACCCCGUAAUCACUUGCCAACGAGUAAUGUCACUCCGAGACAUGUGGGUUGAUCAAACACGUUGGAGAAAUACUCGUAGAUUGGGACCAUCACAUUGAUAGUAAGGACGCUGCUCUGAAACAAACACGGUUCCACACAUGUGCUGUCAUCCAUUUGCUUCCAUUCAAUGGAUCCACCCUGGUGUACUGACCAGUCCUAGUCAAAUACAAGACCCACACCUAUGUACUCACAAAUAUUGCGUAUUUGUAAUGGCCCCACGCCUGUGCUCUCACCAAUGUAGCUGUGUAAUUCACUAAUUCCACACUUGUGUACCUACCAGUCUGUUGCUGAACCAACGCCUGUCUUGCUUUCUUUUACUGGCCCUGCAAAUGUGCUCUCGUCAAUCCUGCUUUAAUUUACUGGACCCAUAUUUGUGUACUCAACAAUCGGACUGUAUUUUACAAGAUCAACACUUGUGUACUCAACAUUUGAACUUUAUCUCAUUAGAUCCACACGUGUGCACUCACGAAUAUUGUGUACUCUUUUACAUGACCGACACUUAUGAAUUCACCAAACAUUCACUUUUCAGAGACCCACAUGUGUGUAUUCACAAAUAUGGCUUUUCUCAUUUUAAUACACUUGUGUACUCACCAAUCUUGCUGCGCUGAUUUUGAGACCCAUCACCAUGUUCAACUCCUUUUGUCGGAACCAUUUGACGGCCAUGUUGUCGUUUGCUAUAGCCACA